AAUGACGGGGUUGUUAAUAUUUUCAUAUCAUCUGGGGUUGGCAAUGCUGUACCAGCUGGCCACCUCUGCGUUGAUAACUGAAGAGAGUUGGCUCAAAUAUUAUAUUGUUCUUCAAGAUUUAGGCUUUUCUUUCAAAAUUUCCUAACAACCUAUCUAGAGAACUCUUUCUUCUCCUGAUAACUGAAGAGAGUUGGCUCAAAUAUUAUAUUGUUCUUCAAGAUUUAGGCUUUUCUUUCAAAAUUUCCUAACAACCUAUCUAGAGAACUCUUUCUUCUCCUUUUAAAGCAAUGUAAUGAGAGCAAACUUUAUAACAGGUCAAAACUCUAUAAUCAAGUCGAAAGCAUAAGAAUCCUACUGUAGUAUAAUUUUGAUGAGUGAACAUGCAUUCAUGAUUCAACAUCUAAUAAAAUUUAAAAAACAUCCAAUAAAGCCUCUCUCCUGCUUGCACUUGUAAUAUUCUGUUAUGUAACACUUUAUGGAUGUCAUGGUGGGCAUUUUGAUGUUAUCUUCUCAGAAGGCUGUUAAUAUUUUCAUUAAAAGCUGUUUUCUCUCUGAGAUUGGAAUUCUAAUAUUUUCCACUGAGAAAUUAACUCGAUUCUUUUCUGAUGAAUUAGAAUUUUGAUACUUGUUAUCUGCCUUGUGCACUACACAAAUACAUUGAUAUUAUCUAUGUUCAACCAUGGUCUUUUUCUAUCCUGCUCCUUGUUAGGUCCUCGUCGCCAC
rnacentral:lncRNA from 1 species